rnacentral:rRNA from 1 species
CUACGGGGUGCUGCAGUGAGGAAUUUUGCGCAAUGGGGGAAACCCUGACGCAGCAACGCCGCGUGAGCGAAGAAGGCCCUCGGGUCGUAAAGCUCUGUCAAGUGGGAAAAAAAUCUUUUGAUCAAUAGUCAAAAGACUUGAUGGUACCACUGGAGGAAGCACCGGCUAACUCCGUGCCAGCAACCGCGGUAAUACGGAGGGUGCAAGCGUUGUUCGGAUUUACUGGGCGUAAAGAGCGUGUAGGCGGUUUAGCAAGUCAGAUGUGAAAGCCCUGGGCUCAACCCGGGAAGUGCAUUUGAAACUGCUUCACUAGAGUAUGGGAGAGGAGAUGGGAAUUCCUGGUGUAGAGGUGAAAUUCGUAGAUAUCAGGAGGAACACCCGUGGCGAAGGCGAUUCUCUGGACCAAUACUGACGCUGAGACGCGAAAGCGUGGGGAGCAAACAGGAUUAGAUACCCCAGUAGUC